GGUUGGUCUGGUAGUGUAGCUGGUCAUCACAUCGGAUUCUGAUUCAUCAGGAAUUUCCGGGGACCUGAGUUCGAAUCUCGGCCGGACCUC
rnacentral:tRNA from 1 species